rnacentral:lncRNA from 1 species
CCUUAUAUAUAUAUAUAUAUAUAUAUAUAGGGUACCAGAAUUUUAUAGCUUGACUGUAUACUCGAUAGAACAAUAAAUGUAUUCUUUUAAGAUAAUUAGGGUAGCUUCAAAAAUGUACGACUAAUUGAUUUAUCUUGUUGCCUUAUUAAAGGACAAUAUUGAUAGCUUGAAGAAUCCACACAUUCUUUGUGGAGUAUAUAGAUGAACAUUUUGUAAGUGAUCCCGUUCAACAAAUUUAGGACUUGAGGAACACAUGAAUCAAUUCGACCAUUUACUUAGAAUUGAUGCAUAAAUUAUUUAUAUUAAAGGUUCUCCAGUUUCAAUAUAUUUGACAAAAAAAUGUCAUGGACUUUUUGCAUUUCUAAUCCUUAUCACAGUUUAUGGACUCCUACUUAUGUAAUUUCUUAUUUAUCCUUCACAUUUCAAAACAGUGAUUCUUAGGAAAAUUGUUGAAGAAAUUGAAGGCCAGUCAAGUACAGAACAUUUUCCCUCCUGUCAGCGAGUAUUCAAGUCCUCAGAAAUUGAUUGAUAAACAGCCUUGCUUAAUUAUUCGCAAAUUACUCCAUUAUUAAAGAACUUAUGAAUUCCAUGAUCUUACUCAGGCUGUGACAUAUGGUACGAACCUUCUACACAGCGACAUCAGUCCCCUCAGACAAAUGCCUCGUGUGUGCUUCAGAGAAUCUGGCAAGCCAGCGGCUGCCAAGCUCCGGCAAGCUUCUUCCAGCAUUACGAUAAUACAUCGCACUGCCGGCUCCGCACGCCUUCCCUUGGGCCUUAAUCUCAGAUUCGUCAUCUAAAGUCGUCAUCACCGGGAUCCCCUCACCUAAACCCUAAACCCUAAACACACGGCUCCCACCGCGCCGCUUCACCCUCACAUCCAACCCUCUGCUCCUCCACCCGCACCCAAUAGCAUCAUAGAGAUUCCCAUAGAAUACGUCAUCACAUCCCCGAAGGGCUUCUAAGAUGUCCCUAUUCUUUUUUCUCAUCAUCUGCUCC